GCGCAGAUGCGCGUCGCGGAUCUCUUCGUAGUGCGCUUGCAGCGCGGGCCAAACGGGGAGCGAAUUCAGCGUCAUGGCAAUCAGGAGCGAAACGGCGUGAACCGGGGGAUGGGCCGCGCCCGCAAGCCGGCGCGCGGCGUGCAGGCGGACGAGGAGCCCGCCUGCGCGGCGGGACGAUCAGUAUAGCGGCGCUUCGUCCGGCGCGGCGGGCCGCGUAUAAAACAGCCGAUUGACGAGCGCGCGCACGGCGGGCGCGAGUUCGCCCGCGGCGAGGCCGGCCGGGCCCGCGCCCGCCGCGCACAGCCGCUCGGCGGCGAGCCCGUGCAGGUAGACGCCCGCGAGCGCCGCUUCGUAGCGCGGCAUCCGCUGCGCAAGAAACGCGCCGAUCAGGCCGCCCAGCACGUCGCCCGUGCCGCCGGUGGCGAGCGCCGCGUUGCCGGUCGGAUUGAUCGCGAGGCGGCCGUCCGGCGCCGCGAUCACGGUGCCGGACCCUUUCAGCACGACGACCGCCGAGAAGCGCGCGCAGAGCGCGCGCGCGGCGGCGACGCGGUCGCGCUGGACGUCGGCCGCGUCGGUGGCGAGCAGGCGCGCGGCCUCGAGCGGAUGCGGCGUGAGGACGGCGGCGUCGCCUGUGCGGCCGCGCGCGGCGAGCGUCGCCGCGAGCGCGGGCGUCGUCGCGAUCAGAUUCAGCGCGUCGGCGUCGAUGAGCUUCGGCGCAUCGAGCGGCAGCAGCGCCGCGAGCACGCGCGCGGCGCGCUCGCUCGCGCCGAGCCCGCAGCCGAUCGCGAGCGCGGUGAGCGACGCGCUCGGCAGCGCGUCGGCCGGAUGCAGCAUCAGCUCCGGAUACGGCGGAUCGUACGGCGGCGCGCCCGUGCCGACGAAGCCGACAUGGACCUUGCCCGCGCCGGCGAAGAGCGCCGCGCGCGCGGCGAGGAUCGGCGCGCCGCACAUGCCCGUGUCUCCGCCGACGAUCCCGAGGCUGCCGUACGUGCCCUUGUGCGAUGCGAACGCGCGCUCGGGCAGGCGCGCCUCGAAGAGCUCGGGCGCGUUCAGCCGGAUCGCGGGCGCGGGCGGCUCGCCGAGAUCGAGGGGCGCGACAUGGAUUUCGCCCGCGAGGUCGCGCCCGUCGCCGGUAUAGAGGCCGGGCUUCGCGGCGAUGAACGACAGCGUGCAGGUGGCCGUGACGGCGGUCCCGCCGCCGACGCGCGCGCCGGUGUCGCUGUCGAGGCCGCUCGGCACGUCGAGCGCGAGCACGCGGCCGGUGUGCCGCGCGCGCGCCGCGAUGCGCUGCGCGAUCGCGGCGAACGCGCCGUCGAGCGGCCGUGCGAGGCCGAUGCCGAACAGCCCGUCGACGAGCCAGCCGUAGCCGUCGAACGAUUCGGGCGCCGCCUCGUCGAUCGGCACGUUCGCCGCGCGCGCGCGCUCGAGCGCCCAGCGCGCGUCGUCAGGCUUCACCUCGAUCGGCAUCCAGGCGUCGGCCGCGAAGCCGAGCCGGCGCAGCUCGGCCGCGGCGACGAGCGCGUCGCCGCCGUUGUUGCCCGGGCCGACCGCGAACCACACGGGCCGCGGGUCGCUCACGAGCCGCGCGGCGAGCCACUGCGCGGCCGAUUUGCCCGCGCGCUCCAUCAGCGUGUGGGGCGGCAGCGCGGCGGCCGCCGCGGUUUCGAUGUCGCGCAGCUCGGCGACGCUCAGGAGCGGCGCGCUCGCAUGAAUCGGCGGCGCAUCGAACGGUUCGAGCGAACGGGGCAGCGGGGAGGCGGCAGGCAGGAUCAUGGGCGGCUCGCGAUCACGCGCCGCCCCGCGCGCGGGCGGCGACGGCGUCAGGUGGCAAAGCGCUCCGCGCGCAGCGCGGCGAGCGUGUCGGCGGGCACGCGCUGCGCGCCGCCGCCGAGGUCAUCUGCCACCACUUUAGCAGACCCGAACGCGAGGCCCCAGCCCGCCGGGCCGUGGCCGAAGUUGACGAACACCCGCGGAUCGGCGGUCGGCCCGACGACGGGCAGGCCGUCCGGCGACAGCAGCUUCGCGCCUUGCCACGCGCGCGCGGCGGAGAUCUUCGCGGUGCCGGGCAGCCAGUCGUGCGUCGCCUGGCCGAGCAGCGCGAGCGCGGCUUCGGACAGCGGCUCGGGCAGCGGCCGCGCGAGAUCCUUCGCGCUUUGCAGCACGGCGCCGCCGCCGAUUCGCAGCCGCUGGCCGAGCCGGGUGAUCGCGAUCCGCUUGGCCGAAUCGACGAUGCUCAGAUGCGGCGCGUGCUCCUCAUACGCGAGGGGCGCCGUCAGCGUGUGGAUGCGCACCGGAUGCAGCGGCGCGCGCACGCCGAGCGGCGCGACGAGCGCGAGGCUUUCGGUGCCCGCCGCGACGACGACCGCGUCGGCGGAGAUCACGUCCACUUCCUUCGAUUUCGCCGCGCGCGGAUCGGCCGCGUCGGGCGCGAGCUCGACGGCGGCGCGCCGCGCGUCGGUGCGGAUCGCCGCGACCGCGCGGCCGAGCCGGAACUGCACGUCGUGCUCGUCGAGCACCUGCUUGACGAGCUUCGCGAAGAGCGGGCAGUUCGCGGUGCGCUCCUGCGCGAGCAGCACGCCGCCCGCGAACGCGGGAUCGACGGGCAUCGACGGUUCGAGCGCCGCGCACGCGUCGGGCGUGAGCGUCUCGUAAGGCUGGCCGAGGUCGCGCAUCAGGUCGAUCGCGGGCUGCGUCGCGUCCCAUUCGGCCGCGUCGCGCACGACGUGCAGCACGCCGCUCUUCUGUUCGAAUUCGAGAUUGAAGCGCGCUUCGACGUCGGCGAUCGCCUCGCGCGACAGCUCGACGAGCGGGCGCAGCUUCGCGUAUUGCGCGGCGAACGCGGCGGGCUCGCGCAGCGCGUCGAGGCGGCGCGUGAAGCGCCGCAGCGCGCCGUUCAGGCCCGGCUUGUAGACGACGCCGCUCUUUUGCGCGCGCCGCUCGCGCAUGAACGUCGGGCCGAACCAGACGUCGAGCGGCGUCGGCAGCAGCACGCCGCCCUGGCCGUAGGUCGCGCCUUGCGCGACCGUCGCGUGGCGCUCGACGACGCAUACGCGAUGGCCGGCCGCGCGCAACUGGUAGGCGGUGGCGAUGCCGGCGAUGCCGC
rnacentral:rRNA from 1 species